rnacentral:antisense_RNA from 1 species
AUACAAAUAAAGAAAAAAAGUGCUUGUUUUCUUUGAGGUAAGUCGCAUUCACAAACUUUGGUCGGGGAGUGAGCGACUUCUUUUUAUUUUGUU